rnacentral:tRNA from 1 species
AAGAUAUUAGUAAAAAGUAUAUUACAUCAUCUUGUCAAGAUGAAACUGUGGGUUAAAAUCCUACAUAUCUUA